AUACGACCAUACCCACUGGAAAACUCGGGAUCCCGUCCGCUCUCCCAUAGAUAAGCCAGUGAGGGCCGGAUCAGUAGUUGGGUCGGUGACGACCAGCGAAUACCUGGUGUUGUAUG
rnacentral:rRNA from 1 species